UGUGCUUAUGCAGGAGGGAAAUGUAGUUGUUUAUGCAUCCAGGCAACUUAAACCACAUGAGAAGAAUUAUCCUACCCAUGACUUGGAGUUAGCAACUAUAGUUUUUGCUUUGAAGAUUUGGAGGCAUUACUUAUAUGGUGAGAAGUGCUAUAUUUACACGGAUCACAAGAGUCUUAAAUACUCGCCCACACAGAAAGAGCUUAAUUUGAGGCAAAGAAGAUGGUUGGAAUUGCUUAAGGACUAUGAUUGCAUCAUA
rnacentral:misc_RNA from 1 species